rnacentral:tRNA from 1 species
UGCGGGGUGGAGCAGCUCAGAAGCUCGUCGUCGGGCUCAUAACCCGAAGGUCGUCGGUUCGAAUCCGGCUCCCCGCUACCA